GCGAUAAGUUGGAGGAAGGUGGAGANNAAAUCAAGUCAUNAUGGCCUUNAUGUCCNGGGCUACACACGUGNUACAAUGGGCGGUACAAAGCGCAGCAAACCCGCGAGGGGGAGCAAAUCGCAAAAAACCGUUCUCAGUUCGGAUUGCAGGCUGCAANUCGCCUGCAUGAAGCUGGAAUCGCUAGUAAUGGCAUAUCAGAACGAUGCCGUGAAUACGUUCCCGGGCCUUGUACACACCGCCCGUCACAUCACGAAAGUGGAUUG
rnacentral:rRNA from 1 species